rnacentral:rRNA from 1 species
GACGAACGCUGGCGGCGUGCUUAACACAUGCAAGUCGAACGGUGAAGCUCCAGCUUGCUGGAGUGGAUCAGUGGCGAACGGGUGAGUAACACGUGAGCAACCUGCCCCUGACUCUGGAAUAAGCGCUGGAAACGGCGUCUAAUACUGGAUACGAGAAGGGUCCGCAUGGGCACUUUCUGGAAAGUUUUUCGGUUGGGGAUGGGCUCGCGGCCUAUCAGCUUGUUGGUGAGGUAAUGGCUCACCAAGGCGACGACGGGUAGCCGGCCUGAGAGGGCGACCGGCCACACUGGGACUGAGACACGGCCCAGACUCCUACGGGAGGCAGCAGUGGGGAAGAUUGCACAAUGGGCGAAAGCAUGAUGCAGCGACGCCGCGUGAGGGAUGACGGCCUUCGGGUUGUAAACCUCUUUCAGCAGGGAAGAAGCGAAAGUGACGGUACCUGCAGAAGAAGCACCGGCUAACUACGUG